rnacentral:rRNA from 1 species
AUACGAAGGGGGCUAGCGUUGUUCGGAAUCACUGGGCGUAAAGCGCGCGUAGGUGGAUCAAUUAGUUGAGGGUGAAAUCCCGGGGCUCAACCUCGGAACUGCCUUCAAUACUGUUGAACUUGAGACCGAGAGAGGUGAGUGGAAUUCCUAGUGUAGAGGUGAAAUUCGUAGAUAUUAGGAAGAACACCAGUGGCGAAGGCGGCUCACUGGCUCGGUACUGACGCUGAGGUGCGAAAGCGUGGGGAGCAAACAGGAUUAGAAACCCUAGUAGUCC